UACGUAGGGUGCAAGCGUUUGUCCGGAAUUAUUGGGCGUAAAGAGCUCGUAGGCGGUUUGUCGCGUCUGCUGUGAAAUCCCGAGGCUCAACCUCGGGCUUGCAGUGGGUACGGGCAGACUAGAGUGCGGUAGGGGAGAUUGGAAUUCCUGGUGUAGCGGUGGAAUGCGCAGAUAUCAGGAGGAACACCGAUGGCGAAGGCAGAUCUCUGGGCCGUAACUGACGCUGAGGAGCGAAAGCGUGGGGAGCGAACAGG
rnacentral:rRNA from 1 species